rnacentral:rRNA from 11 species
GUUUGAUCCUGGCUCAGAACGAACGCUGGCGGCAGGCCUAACACAUGCAAGUCGAGCGCUCUCUUCGGAGGGAGCGGCGAACGGGUGAGUAACGCGUGGGAAUCUGCCAUAGAGUGGGGAACAACUUUUGGAAACGAAAGCUAAUACCGCAUACGCCCUCCGGGGGAAAGGCUUCGGCCGCUCUUUGAUGAUCCCGCGUCUGAUUAGCUUGUUGGUAGGGUA